CCACGCCGUAAACGAUGAGUGNUAAGUGUUGGAGGGUUUCCGCCCUUCAGUGCUGCAGCAAACGCAUUAAGCACUCCGCCUGGGGAGUACGACCGCAAGGUUGAAACUCAAAGGAAUUGACGGGGGCCCGCACAAGCGGUGGAGCAUGUGGUUUAAUUCGAAGCAACGCGAAGAACCUUACCAGGUCUUGACACCCUUUGACCACUCUAGAGAUAGAGCUUUCCCUUCGGGGACAAAGUGACAGGUGGUGCAUGGUUGUCGUCAGCUCGUGUCGUGAGACGUUGGGUUAAGUCCCGCAACGAGCGCAACCCUUAUUGUUAGUUGCCAUCAUUUAGUUGGGCACUCUAGCGAGACUGCCGGUGACAAACCGGAGGAAGGUGGGGAUGACGUCAAGUCAUCAUGCCCCUUAUGACCUGGGCUACACACGUGCUACAAUGGGAAGUACAACGAGUCGCUAGACCGCGAGGUCAUGCAAAUCUCUUAAAGCUUCUCUCAGUUCGGAUUGCAGGCUGCAACUCGCCUGCAUGAAGCCGGAAUCGCUAGUAAUCGCGGAUCAGCACGCCGCGGUGAAUACGUUCCCGGGCCUUGUACACACCGCCCGUCACACCACGAGAGUUUGUAACACCCGAAGUCGGUGAGGUAACCUUUUUGGGGCCAGCCGCCUAAGGUGGGAUAGAUGAUUGGGGUGAAGUCGUAACAAGGUAACCAAGGGCGAAUUCGCGGC
rnacentral:rRNA from 1 species